AUGGCCAUCGGUGACGGCAGGACGACCCUUUUCUGGGAGGAUCGCUGGCUCGGCGGCCAAUCCGUCCACGAGCUCGCGCCCAUGCUUAUCCAGUGCAUACCCAAACAGCGCAGGAAGUCCAGAACGGUGGCGGAGGCCCUCACCGGCAACAGCUGGGCGCGUGACAUCCAUGGCCUGCUCGGCCUCCCGGAGAUUGGACAGUACCUAAAGCUCUGGCACCUAGUUCAGCAUGUCGAGCUGUCCAAUGAGCCGGACAGGCUGCUCUGGAGAUGGACAGCCAACGGGGUUUACACGGCCCAAUCUUGCUACCGGGCAACCUUCCAGGGCGCGACGAGCUGCAACUCCUGGAAACUCAUCUGGAGGAGCUGGGCACCGCCCAAGGUGAAGUUCUUCCACUGGUUGGCGUGUCAAGAUCGCUGCUGGACCGCGAAGAGACUAGCGCGCCAUGGCCUACAACACCACCCACGGUGCCUUCUGUGCGACCAGGAACCGGAGACGAUUGGACACCUGAUGCUUACGUGCCCAUUCACUAGGCAGACUUGGCAUGAGGUCCUUUCUUGGCUACGCCUACCGGCACCGGCGCCCGAGCACGACGGCUCGCUCAUGGAUUGGUGGCUGCGCGCAAAGGAAUUGACACCGCCAGCACUUCGCAAG
rnacentral:rRNA from 1 species